rnacentral:rRNA from 1 species
UACGUAGGGUGCAAGCGUUGUCCGGAAUUAUUGGGCGUAAAGAGCUCGUAGGCGGUCUGUUGCGUCGGCUGUGAAAUCCCUGGGCUCAACCCAGGAACUGCGUCCGAUACUGGCAGGCUUGAAUUCGGGAGAGGGAUGCGGAAUUCCAGGUGUAGCGGUGAAAUGCGUAGAUAUCUGGAGGAACACCGGUGGCGAAGGCGGCAUCCUGGACCGAUAUUGACGCUGAGGCGCGAAAGCCAGGGGAGCAAACGGG